rnacentral:rRNA from 1 species
CAGCCGCCACGGGAAUACGUAGGGUGCGAGCGUUAAUCGGAAUUACUGGGCGUAAAGCGUGCGCAGGCGGUUUUGUAAGACAGGCGUGAAAUCCCCGGGCUCAACCUGGGAAUGGCGCUUGUGACUGCAAAGCUAGAGUGCGGCAGAGGGGGAUGGAAUUCCGCGUGUAGCAGUGAAAUGCGUAGAUAUGCGGAGGAACACCGAUGGCGAAGGCAAUCCCCUGGGCCUGCACUGACGCUCAUGCACGAAAGCGUGGGGAGCAAACAGGAUUAGAUACCCCCGUAGUCCCUGUCUCUUAUAA